GGAAGGAUCAUUAACACGUUCUUAACAAAACGUUUUAAAACCCCAAAAUUAAUCUGUGAACUUAACUUUUUCCCUCCCUAUUUUGUUUUUUACUAAACAAACCCCCUUUUUUUUAAUUCUUACGAACUGAAAAAAACAAAAAUCGGAAAAGUAUCUGAUAUUUUUCUAUUUAUAAAAAUGCUGAACAACUCUUAACAACGGAUAUCUUGGUUCUCGCACCGAUGAAGAACGCAGCGAAAUGCGAUACGUAAUGCGAAUUGCAGAAUUCAGUGAAUCAUCAAAUUUUUGAACGCAAAUGGCGCUCUCGCGACAAGUGAGAGCACGCCUCUCUGAGUAUCGGUCUUAUCUCGCUCUUUUUUUAUUCUUUGGAAUAAAAAAGCAGGCGGAAAAUGAGUCGUCUCGCUAUUUUAUAGCGCGUCACUUGAAAAACCUAUUAUUUUAGUUUCCCUUUUGCAAGAAUGGGGACGUUAAAAGAUAAAAAAAAAAAAAGAUUAACUUCUUUUUCUUUUUCAAACAUUUUUUGACGUCUAUUCCAAACUAUUUUUGAUCCACAAAUCGGAAACAACUUGAAAUAACACCGAAAAAAAACUUUCAUAACGAAGAUCUCAGAUGAAGCGAGACUACCCGCUGGACUUAAGCAUAUUAUUAAGCGGAGGAAAAGAAACUAACAAGGAUUCCCCCAGUAACGGCGAGUGAAGCGGGAAAAGCUCAAAAUGAAAAUCGGGAGGUCAAACGACCUUUUCUAAUUGUAGCCUAGAGAUUCAUGGUCAGGAUGCAACCUGGGUAUAAGUCCCUUGGAAUGGGGCGUCAUAGAGGGUGAGAAUCCCGUCUUUGAUUCAGGACCUGCUCUGUACGACAUGAAUUCAUCGAGUCGUGUUGCUUGGGAGUGCAGCACAAAAUGGGUGGUAAAUUUCAUCUAAAGCUAAAUACAAGCGAGAGACCGAUAGCGAACAAGUACCGUGAGGGAAAGAUGAAAAGAACUUUGAAAAGAGAGUUAAUAGUACUUGAAAUUGUUAAGAGGGAAGCACUGGAAACCAGUCUUUGCCGGAAGUUGCUACUUGUUUGCGCCAUUGCUCGAACAGAGCGGUCUAGAGUUUAGAGCCUGACCGUGAGUUUUGGUGGUGGUGCAGGCGCACCGCGGCUUCUGAUUGCAGAUCAGCAUCGAUUCAUUGUCGUGGGAGAUCGCCAUCGCUGAGGUAAGGUCGAGGGUGCUUGCACCUGAGGCUGUACGUAUUGAGCGUGUGGUGUUACCAUGCGAUUGGAUCGAGGACUAAAACCCAUGUAAAGCGCCCCGCUUGCGGGACGGUUGCCGCUCGCCCAAGGGUGAAGAGAUAAUGCUCAGGACAGCACUGCUGUGCGGGCCUCCGAGCUCUUGCCGCGGGUGGACAACUAGACGCGUUUAUCGUGAUGCUGAUGAAAUGGUUUUCAAUGACCCGUCUUGAAACACGGACCAAGGAGUCUAACAUAUAUGCGAGUAUUUGGGUGUGUAAAACCCUGAUGCGCAAUGAAAGUAAAGAGUGCCUUGUGCACUUGAGGUAGGAACCGCGGUUUGAAAUGCAGACCUGCGGGGCACUAUCGACCGAUCGUCACUUGUGAUAGAUUUGAGUAAGAGCAUAUCUGUUGGGACCCGAAAGAUGGUGAUCUAUGCCUGAACAGGGCGAAGCCAGGGGAAACUCUGGUGGAGGCUCGUAGCGAUACUGACGUGCAAAUCGUUCGUCUGAUUUGGGUAUAGGGGCGAAAGACUAAUCGAACCAUCUAGUAGCUGGUUCCCUC
rnacentral:misc_RNA from 1 species